UAUGGAUAUCCACUUAAGAUUAGCUCGAAAUAGUCCUCUUAGGUGUUGAUCCUUCUUUUCUAAAAACAAUCAGCCUACGAAUCUGAAUGAAGUAUGAAUCAUGAUCAACUCUUUGAUCUUUUUUUUGAUAUUUUCUUCUCUUCUUCUCUUGCUUUUCUUCUCUUGAUUAUAAAGCAAUCAAGGCCUGAAAACUAGCAAGCAAGGGG
rnacentral:lncRNA from 1 species